UGCUUGCCCACGUGAGUUAAAGCUGCCAUUUUGUAUGUAAUUUUUCAGAGGUCAUUUUACUUCACCAUUCCAUCGAAGAACUAGAAACUGUUGUCAGGGCUCUUAAACAAUGUCUAAUAGAGGUGAAAGAACAAGAGUCUAUGUAGGUGAUCUCGGUUCCGGAGGAUCCAAACCAGAACUGGAAAAAGAGUUCGAAAGAUAUGGUCCUCUGAAGAGUGUCUGGGUUGCCAGAAAUCCACCAGGUUUUGCUUUUAUUGAGUUUGAGGAUCCUCGUGAUGCGGAAGAUGCAGUUAAGGAUAUGGAUGGUCGUAGAGUUUGUGGAGUUACUAUCAAGUGUGAAUUAGCCAAAGGCACCAGCAGUGCACAAUUCAGACCUGGAGGCAGUGGUCGUGGUUUUAAAGAAGAGCGCCGAGGCGGUGGACCACCAUCAAUAGUAAGCAGCCGUUAUCGCAGAAGUCCACCUAGAUAUGGUGAUCGUCGUCGAAGCAGGUCUCCAUACGGUCGGUCCAAGAGUCCAAGCCCUAGAAGGUCUCGUUCCCGUUCUCCCCCAAGGAGAGGAGGUCGCAGCCCAGAUUAUCAGUGAGUACAAUUUCUGUUCUUUUAAGCGCAAUAACCAUUUUAUGCAGCCCAGAUUAUCAGCGAGGCGGUCGCAGCCCUAGUCCAUACAGGAAAGGCAAUUCAUCCUUCGAUGAGACGGUCUCCAGGGAGAGAUAGAGAUGGAAAAUACUACUAAGCUGCUUUGUACGAACUCUUUAUUAUGAUUAUAUUAUACAUGUACAUGUACCUUUGAACUCAACCCCUUACGGUAUUGUAACGAGUGCAAUUGUUUUUGUACUUAAAUGUGCCAGUUGUUCAUUACUAACUGAGGUCGAAUCAUCAA